GAUGAACGCUGGCGGCGUGCCUAAUACAUGCAAGUCGAGCGAACAGACGAGGAGCUUGCUCCUCUGACGUUAGCGGCGGACGGGUGAGUAACACGUGGAUAACCUACCUAUAAGACUGGGAUAACUUCGGGAAACCGGAGCUAAUACCGGAUAAUAUAUUGAACCGCAUGGUUCAAUAGUGAAAGACGGUUUUGCUGUCACUUAUAGAUGGAUCCGCGCCGCAUUAGCUAGUUGGUAAGGUAACGGCUUACCAAGGCGACGAUGCGUAGCCGACCUGAGAGGGGGGACGGCCACCCUGGGACUUGGGAACGGGCCCAGCUCCCUAGGGGAGCCACAGGUGGGGAUCCUCCGGAAUGGGCCGAAGCUUGGCGGGGCAACGGCGCCGUGGUGAUGGAGGGCUUCCGGUCGGUAAACCUUUUUUAUAGGGGAAGACAAAUUGUGUAAUUACUAAGCACGGCUUUACCGUUCCUUAUCAAGAAGGCACGGCUUACUACCGU
rnacentral:rRNA from 1 species